UCCCUGGUGGCUCAGAUGGUAAAAGUAUCUGCCUGUGAAGCAGGAGACAUAGGUUUGAUCCCUGGGUUGGGAA
rnacentral:tRNA from 1 species